GACGAACGCUGGCGGCGUGCCCAAUACAUGCAAGUAGAACGCUGAAGAGAGGAGCUUACUCUUCUUGGAUGAGUUGCGAACGGGUGAGUAACGCGUAGGUAACCUGCCUUGUAGCGGGGGAUAACUAUUGGAAACGAUAGCUAAUACCGCAUAACAAUGGAUGACACAUGUCAUUUAUUUGAAAGGGGCAAUUGCUCCACUACAAGAUGGACCUGCGUUGUAUUAGCUAGUAGGUGAGGUAAUGGCUCACCUAGGCGACGAUACAUAGCCGACCUGAGAGGGUGAUCGGCCACACUGGGACUGAGACACGGCCCAGACUCCUACGGAAGGCAGCAGUAGGGAAUCUUCGGCAAUGGGGGCAACCCUGACCGAGCAACGCCGCGUGAGUGAAGAAGGUUUUCGGAUCGUAAAGCUCUGUUGUAAGUCAAGAACGGGUGUGAGAGUGGAAAGUUCACACUGUGACGGUAGCUUACCAGAAAGGGACGGCUAACUACGUG
rnacentral:rRNA from 1 species